GCUGGGCUGGGCAGGCCGCGCCGCCCCACUCCGCUCCAUCUGCCCCCUGGCGCGGGCUCCGGCCGUGCUGUGUCACCCCCGCGGCUCAUCCGUGCACAGCUCGGCUCGCCUGGCCGGCCUCGGCACCGCGGGGGUGGCAGCAGCGCAGGGAGAGCCUCAGCAGGGUGUGGGCCUUGCAGGAGGUCUCAGCGUGAGGCCGGCGGCGUGGGCCGUGACUGCAGCACAGCCGCCGGGCGCCGGCUCCUUUGGUUUCCUUUGCUGGAUGUGGUUGUCGUAGUAGCUUAGCUUUAGAAGUGAGGUUCAGCUUGGACAUAAGAGGAAUUUAAUCACAAGAAAGCAUGAUUAGCCAUUGGAAUGGGCUGCCCAGGGAGGCGGCGGAGUCGCCAUCCCGGAAGGAGUGGAUGUGGUGCUCACGGUCUGGCUGUCAAGGUGUGUUCAGUCAAAGGUGGAGCAGGAAAAGCUGCAUUUGUGUGAGGCUGGUGCCAAGGAGAAGUGUGGAGGAAGCAGCGUUGGGGCAGGGCCAUGCUCCCCUUGGCACACCUUCUUCAGUCCCUGCAGCUCUGGGGUUUGUGGAUUUCUCAAGCCUAACCCAAAGUGGAGCAGUGAAAGCAGCCUGUUGAGGGAAUCAAGAGGAUAAAAAAGGCUUUUUUCCUCUCUGCAAGAAGAAAUCUGACGCAGUGGGAACCCAAUCACGCAGACACCAUGAAUGCUUGCAGAAGGAUACAUUCUCUCCGUGCUCACAGACAGAAAACUAAUGGAAACAAAAGUGAGAACUGGCAUAGCACCUCUGGGUUCAAGCACCAGCACGCAGAUGAUCUUGUUACAGUCCACACUCUUUACACAGUGAUCAUCAUGGUCCUUCUAGUGGCACUCUGGGGAGCCUGGUCAAGAAAGGAUUCAGCCUCAUAGCACCAAUAUAACAACUUUCUUUGUCAAAUAUUUAAAGAAGUAUUUGUGCAAAUUUGUGUCAAGAGGUACAAAAAAUGCUCUCAGCAUAUUUCAGUUUACUUGAAACUGCUUAAAUAGUUGCUAUUUGUGGAAGUGAAUCUAUGAAGCAAUUUAACAAGCCAUGUACAGAACAUAAUUUUGUGAAUAACAGAGACUUGUUUGACCUGUACAUAUUUAUAUUAUCUUCAGCAUGUAUAUGAAACUUUAAGCAUGAUAUUCUAGAAAGAAGAGUUCAACUUCUGUUUUAUUGGUCAAGGUUUUGUAUGUCCACCCCAGCUUUCCAUUUGGGAACUUGUCGAGUCUACAUCUGCUAAGUUUGCCUGUCCCAGUCCAUGGUAAAACAUACACUAUAAGCAGGGAAAUAGCCUGCCAUGUCACAACAACAUAGGAAAAAUAAUCAACAAAUCCAUCUAUUCUGCUGGCAAAAGAAAAUUACUGAAAAAGUCAAAUUCUCAUGCUGAAGAGAGUUUAUAUGGGACUUGCAUCCAUUAUUUUUAACUUAUGGUAAUGACUUUUUAAACUCAGCAAUAAAAUGAUGAAAUAAGCUGCUUUUGUGAAUCCUUUGUCACAGAACCAGAACCAGCUGGCUCAAUCUUCAUCUUGUAUAUAUUUAUCUGCAACCACCACUUGCUUUUCCAUAAUUCAUUAACAUCUCAUGGCAGCACCAGCUUCUAUGUACACUAGCCCAUCACUGAUGGGGGGCAUUCCAUCAGUGCUUUAACAUGGGAGCAGUGCUUUGAUGAUGCUCCCAAAAGAACAGCACACAAAGGACUACUUAAGAAAACAGAUGAUUAGCACAUUAAAUACAUUGUCACAGAACAUAGGGACCCAGUUAUAAAACAUGUAGCAUGAACAUUACAAGUGAACACAAAAGGGUGGGCCCUCCCUUGCCAAUAUAUGUUUGAAGCACAUGAGAUGGGAGGACCUACACAUUCUGACAGCAGCACAAAAACUCCCAGUGAUCAGGAUUCAGUGUGCUAGAAGUCAAACACAAAAUCCCAAAUGCACCCUACCAAGGGGAAAAAAAACUAGAAUAAUUGACCACACGUCAUGAUGUAGCAUUUAGAUGUUAAAUUUAUAAAUUCUGCAGGUAUUAUUCUUGCCUCUGAAGCACUGGACAUCCAAAUAAGAUAUUGAAAAUACUUCAUUUUCCUCUUUCACCUUGUGAUGGAGGAGAUGAGGUAUGAAAGUUCAGAGGAGACUGCCGCGGAACAUUAAAUGUUUUGAAAAGUGUAUUUUUUUCUUAAAUUGUUGCUUUCCUGGAAAACAGCCUUGGUUGAUUUAACAGUAACAUUAGAGAUCUAAAUUAAAUAAUUUUUAACAUGUUCAGAAAGACAACUGUA